AGUUUUCUCUUCCACAAUGGCUAGCUAAUGCUAACAACAAUGUAGUGGAUUUUUUUGUUGAAGAACCCCUUUCAUUGCCCACAUCAGAUUCAAGCUUCUUGGAAAAUGGACAAAGUUCUGCGUAUUUAAACUGCGCAACACAACGAGAAGCUAAGUCCCUUCCUGUUCCCUGAUUAAGAGGUGAUGACUACUCCACUACCAUCGUCAACUCUCUGCUGACAUGAACUGAAGCCACGUGUCAUGUGCCCUCUCAUCCACUGGCACAUUGAAUGUUUCCUCUCCAAGCACUUCAAAUCCUGUCCUGGUAUCAGUGGAAAAGUUGAGCUCUUCUCCAACACCAUCCAUCCAUGAUGAGCCAGUCCUGCACUGAAGCCUCUGAACACCUCAACCCCUGUCCGGCACUGAGGCCUCUGAACACCUCAACCCCUGUCCUGCACUGAAG